GGGGUUGAAUGGAAUCGACAGGAAAUGUGAUCGAUUAGUAAGCAUGUCGUAGGAUGAUAGUCUGCUACGUUAAAAACAAUUAUCAAACCACAAAUGGCAAUACAACUUUUGCCGUUGCAGCUUAAUUCUAGGAAUUAAAAUGCAUCUAUGCAAUAGAGCCUUAGCCUAACAAGCUCUUGUCGCGUAUCAAACCCGUUUAGGCUGGUUCUUCAGAGGUCUCGGUAGAAGAAUGAGAAAAUAGAGAAUAAGGGUCGGAAAGCUGGUUUCUUAAGCUCCUCUGACUCUGACAAAUAAAUAAGAAACUAAACAUGUAGAAAGUUAUUGGGUUCUUUCUCUGGACCCGGGUUCGAAUCCCGGCAGCUCCACAU
rnacentral:tmRNA from 1 species